CACUGCAUUUACCCGGAGCUCCUUUACUCAGCCAGGUCGACCGUCUGGAUCCUGGCUAAAAACCUGAAAAGGACCACAAGCAGUCCAGAGAAGUCUCAAGCCCUCCAAAGUUCAAAUCCUGACUCGGAGAAAUUCGGAGGCCCUCAGUGGGAGGUCUAGCUACCCUUACUUUGCAACCAGAGCCAAACACUUUGCUUGCUGAUCUGAGAAGCACCGGUUUAGAAAAGGAGAUGGGCUGCUAAGGAAACUUGCUGGCAAAAGCAAUCUGGGAAUUUAACUAGCAUUUUCGGACUGGUAAGCGGCAUUAUGGAUUCUACGAGGACUGCACCAGGAGCCGUAAGAUGCCGACGACAAGGGACUGAAUUGUCUGAUUCUCGGAUACGUGCCCUCAAGAGAGCUUCCGAGAGAGCCGGAUGGGACCGCAGCAUCUCCGACGAUUUCCCAGGAAAAAGUAAAGGCGCAGCGGCGAGCCGCCCUUGACCGCACUCGCUCACGACUAGAAUUCAGUGUCAGGAAGCAGAGCCUGGUGUGACCACCCACCCACCUUCAUCCUGAGUGGUGUCUCCACCCUCUGAUGAUGUAAGGCAGCAAAGACUCACUGCCCCUCUGCACUGGAAGGAACAGAGACCAGCAUUUCAUCCCAACACCUUGAGAGCAACGACUCUCCUCUUUGCCACCCUGGAUGGAGGGCCAUCUGCCAGCGAUGGGAAAUGUACAAGGCAGCCGGCCCAUCCCAAUUUUUAACAGAAUUAAUCGUUAGAAUCUGCUGCAUAAUACGAAGCCACGUCUAUCUCAUCAUCAAGGAUUUGACGGUACCUGUGUGGUACCCUUCUGAGGCUCCAUGACUUCCAUUCCCCAACUGAACGCUCCCUCCAAAAGUGUUCCUAGCGGUGACCUUACAAAUAUCCUUGUCCAUAAAUCUUUGCAUACUUGUCAUUGGAUACAUUUCUAUACACAAAGCUGUUGGGACAAAUGGUACAAUUCUGUAGCUUUUGCUGUAUAUUUCCAGAUCAGUUUCCAGGAAGGGUGUUUUUGUCUAUACGCCCACAAGUGGUUUACGAGAGAGAACCCAUCUCCCCACACCCUAGCCACCAAAUUGGGUGAAUUUUAAUUCUUUUAAUCACUGCCAAUCUGAUAAAAGAAAAUGAUUAUCUCA